UACGUAGGGGGCUAGCGUUGUCCGGAAUCAUUGGGCGUAAAGAGCGUGUAGGCGGCCCGGUAAGUCCGCUGUGAAAGUCGGGGGCUCAACCCUCGAAUGCCGGUGGAUACUGUCGGGCUAGAGUGCGGAAGAGGCGAGUGGAAUUCCUGGUGUAGCGGUGAAAUGCGCAGAUAUCAGGAGGAACACCAAUAGCGAAGGCAGCUUGCUGGGACGGUACUGACGCUAAGGCGCGAAAGCGUGGGGAGCGAACAGG
rnacentral:rRNA from 1 species